CCUGGCGGCGUGCUUAACACAUGCAAGUCGAACGAACCUUCGGGUUAGUGGCGGACGGGUGAGUAACGCGUGAGAAUCUGCCCUCAGGAGGGGGAUAACGGUUGGAAACGACCGCUAAUACCCCAUAUGCCGAUAGGUGAAAUGAAUUUCGCCUGAGGAUGAGCUCGCGUCUGAUUAGCUUGUUGGUGAGGUAAUGGCUCACCAAGGCUUCGAUCAGUAGCUGGUCUGAGAGGAUGAUCAGCCACACUGGGACUGAGACACGGCCCAGACUCCUACGGGAGGCAGCAGUGGGGAA
rnacentral:rRNA from 1 species